rnacentral:tRNA from 1 species
GGUCUCGUACUGUAGCGGUUAACACGCCUGCCUGUCACGCAGGAGAUCGCGGGUUCGAUUCCCGUCGAGACCGCCA